ACCUGCGGGAGGUCGGCUAGUACUGUCACGUUCUGUGACCAACGCCGACACUAGAACAUCGUGUUCG
rnacentral:sRNA from 1 species